CGGCGGACGGGUGAGUAACGCGUGGGUAACCUGCCUCAUACAGGGGGAUAACAGUUAGAAAUGGCUGCUAAUACCGCAUAAGACCACAGUACUGCAUGGUACAGUGGUAAGAACUCCGGUGGUAUGAGAUGGACCCGCGUCUGAUUAGGUAGUUGGUGAGGUAACGGCCCACCAAGCCGACGAUCAGUAGCCGACCUGAGAGGGUGACCGGCCACAUUGGGACUGAGACACGGCCCAA
rnacentral:rRNA from 1 species